rnacentral:rRNA from 1 species
CAGUAGCCACGGUAAUACGUAGGUGGCAAGCGUUGUCCGGAAUUAUUGGGCGUAAAGCGCGCGCAGGUGGUUUAAUAAGUCUGAUGUGAAAGCCCACGGCUCAACCGUGGAGGGUCAUUGGAAACUGUUAAACUUGAGUGCAGGAGAGAAAAGUGGAAUUCCUAGUGUAGCGGUGAAAUGCGUAGAGACUAGGAGGAACACCAGUGGCGAAGGCGGCUUUUUGGCCUGUAACUGACACUGAGGCGCGAAAGCGUGGGGAGCAAACAGGAUUAGAUACCCCCGUAGUCCCUGUCUCUUAUAC